rnacentral:rRNA from 1 species
CACGUAGGGCGCAAGCGUUGUCCGGAAUUAUUGGGCGUAAAGAGCUCGUAGGCGGUCUGUUGCGUCCGCUGUGAAAACUCGGGGCUUAACCCCGAGCCUGCAGUGGAUACGGGCAGACUAGAGGUAGGUAGGGGAGAAUGGAAUUCCCGGUGUAGCGGUGAAAUGCGCAGAUAUCGGGAGGAGCACCGGUGGCGAAGGCGGUUCUCUGGGCCUUACCUGACGCUGAGGAGCGAAAGCAUGGGGAGCAAACAGG